rnacentral:rRNA from 1 species
UGCUACCUACGGAAGGCAGCAGUGGGGAAUAUUGCACAAUGGGGGAAACCCUGAUGCAGCGACGCCGCGUGAGUGAAGAAGUAUCUCGGUACGUAAAGCUCUAUCAGCAGGGAAGAAAAAAAGUCCUUUGGACUUUGGACGGUACCUGACCAAGAAGCCCCGGCUAACUACGUGCCAGCAGCCGCGGUAAUACGUAGGGGGCAAGCGUUAUCCGGAUUUACUGGGUGUAAAGGGAGCGUAGACGGCAGCGCAAGUCUGGAGUGAAAUGCCGGGGCCCAACCCCGGAACUGCUUUGGAAAUUGUGG